ACAACAGGAGGUGUCUUAGGACACUUUACAGAUAGAGUAGGUCUAGAUCAAACUCUAUAAUUUACAUUAACCCAACAAUUUCCCACCAGCAAGCAUCUAGUGCGACAGUGGUGAGGAUAACUUCCUUUUUAGGUAGUGAUCUCGCAC